GUCUUCGUGGUGUAGUGGUCAGCACGCUCGACAUGUAAUCAAAAGGUCCGUGGUUCGAUUCGCGGUGAAGACG
rnacentral:tRNA from 1 species